UUAGGGAUAAGGGGUGCCACCAUCAGGUGGCCGCAGAGAAUAGGCCCAAGCGACUGUUUACCAAAAACAUAGGUUUCUGCUAAGUCGCAAGACGAUGUAUAGGAGCUGACGCCUGCCCGGUGCUGGACGGUUAAGGGGAUCUGUUAGAGUAAUCGAAGCAGUGAACUUAAGCCCCAGUAAACGGCGGCCGUAACUAUAACGGUCCUAAGGUAGCGAAAUUCCUUGUCGGGUAAGUUCCGACCCGCACGACAGGCG
rnacentral:rRNA from 1 species